rnacentral:rRNA from 1 species
UACAGAGGGUGCAAGCGUUGUCCGGAAUCACUGGCGUAAAGGGCGCGUAGGCGGUCUCUUAAGCGUGUGGUGAAAGCCCGGGGCUCAACUCCGGGUCGGCCGUGCGAACUGGGGGACUGGAGCUUGUCAGAGGCAGGCGGAAUUCCGGGUGUAGCGGUGGAAUGCGUAGAGAUCCGGAAGAACACCGGUGGCGAAGGCGGCCUGCUGGGACAGUGCUGACGCUGAGGCGCGACAGCGUGGGGAGCGAACAGG